GAACUGAUAACCCGAUAGGUGGAAUGAAGGGGUAACGCCCUGAAACGCCUACCCUGAGACUCCGGCUGGCGUCCAUAGCGAAAGCAUGUGGUGGUCAGAAGCCCGGCGAAGUCGGCAGAGAGAUACCGUAAUGAGAAGAUUGCUUCAUGCAGUCCCAACGAAAGCUGUCCAGAGGUGGAUGGUGUGUCCUAUAUGCCGGGGGUCUAUAAA
rnacentral:ncRNA from 1 species